rnacentral:rRNA from 1 species
UGCAGAGGUCCCAAGCGUUGUUCGGAUUCACUGGGCGUAAAGGGUGCGUAGGCGGUUGGGUAAGUCUGACGUGAAAUCUUCGAGCCUAACUCGGAAACUGCGUCGGAUACUAUUCGGCUAGAGGAAUGGAGGGGAGACUGGAAUACUUGGUGUAGCGGUGAAAUGCGUAGAUAUCAGGUGGAACACCAGUGGCGAAGGCGAGUCUCUGGACAUUUCCUGACGCUGAGGCGCGAAAGCCAGGGGAGCAAACGGG